UACGUAGGGUGCAAGCGUUGUCCGGAAUUAUUGGGCGUAAAGAGCUCGUAGGCGGCUUGUUGCGUCGACCGUGAAAACCCGCGGCUCAACUGCGGGCUUGCGGUUGAUACGGGCAGGCUGGAGUUCGGUAGGGGAGACUGGAAUUCCUGGUGUAGCGGUGAAAUGCGCAGAUAUCAGGAGGAACACCGGUGGCGAAGGCGGUUCUCUGGGCAUUACCUGACGCUGAGGAGCGAAAGUGUGGGGAGCGAACAGG
rnacentral:rRNA from 1 species